rnacentral:misc_RNA from 1 species
GCCCAUCAACGCUCGGUCACCCCUCCAUGUACCUUGUGGUAGGGGAAUGACCAGAUGCGGACAUUGGCCCUCCGAGCCAUAAAUGGUGCGGUGGGCUGAAGUGCAUGGUCGUCGGAUGGUGCCGGGAUUGGCGAGUGGUGGGCUACUGCGCAUGCCAACCCCGGCCUCCAUGUCGACAGAUGACCUUUUCUGACCCCUAACAAGGAGCUUGUCGUUGCAGCAUCUUGCUGUGCGGCAUCUUCGGACC